AUAGAAAACAGUGGUUCUGUACUCGCUUCAGCAGUAUAUAUACUAAGAAGAUUAGCAUGGCCCCUGUGCAAAGAUGACAUGCAAAUUCAUGAAGGAUUUCAUUAAAAAAACUUUUUU
ensembl:snRNA U6 U6 spliceosomal RNA